CGGAGGUCCGGGGCGCCGGACCCGCCGCGGCCUCGCCGGGCCUGGCUGGCCUGUUUGUUCUAUACUUCUAAUGUUUAAUAAUUACCCAGAGCUUUGGAUAUAUGCAAUUCUGCAAAAUAAAUCAAAAGGAGUCAGAAGGCAAUUUUAUUUCCUAAUAGACCCUUAGUUAGAAUUUAACUUAAAAGCCAUUUUUAACAAAUGUAAACAAUAUCUCCCCUCCUCUCCAUCAAAGUCUGACGGAGACAAAUGAAAAGAUUUUUUAGAAGAAUAGGACUAUAUCAAGACCAAAAAAAAAAAAAAAAGCUAAGAAAGGGUACCAUCAACAAUCUUUACAGAACUUCUGGAAAGUAAAAAGCAAAUGGUACUGGCCUGGGGAAUAACCAAAGAAAAUGAAACCUCAGCCCCGGAUGGCAAAGGACACAACUGGAGAAACUAGUUAUUUCACCAAGGCUUUGACUGGAAUGGCAUGCUUCUUUAAAGAAUCAAAGUUGACUUGUAGAGCCAAUAAAAGCCCCUUGGGAAAUGUGGCCUCAUACCUUGUCUAUGCCAUCUCUGUACAAGAUUCCCGACUUGUGAUUUCAUAGUGUUUACUGAUGGACCAUGUACUUGGGAUAAAUUGGCCAACUGAAGGUUUCUUAUGCUGUGGUGUCUGAUCAUGAGCUCUUGGAAGCUUAUGUUUUGUCUGGAAUUAAGUUGGCACAAGUAGACAUCCUGAGACAUAAAGUGAAAAGGACCUAGAAGGAACUACUGGAAGAAAUAUCACCCCUAUUAAACUGGGCAAUUUUGUUUAAAUAUGAGUGUUCUGGAGGAAACAUGCAUUGUCACCAGGCUGGAUGGGACCCUUUCAAGUGCCACGAUCACUCAUAUGGGUAUCAGAGUGAAAGAAAAACCAGAUGGUUUCAUGCUUUCCAUGUGAAGCCAGCUCCUCAGGAGGACUAGACUGCAGUUUCCACAAAGGAUUUGAAGUUUAAUUUCCUAGAGUGACUAAUAUUGGUAAUGAACUCAACUGAAAGGAGGUAUUCUAAGGAAUGUAUUAUUCUGACUACCUUGCUGUCCUAGUUGCAAUAGUGUUUUGUUCAAUUACUAUAAGAAUCACAUUUUAUUAGAAAAUAAACAUGUUAUUUGUUACACCA